UCCAGCGCACUCGUAUACGUUGCUUCCCUGAAUAGCUUCAAUUAAAUGAUGUGCAAAGAGACAUGUGAUAAAUGCGAUUGUAUUUUAUUUCGAGCUUAUGUAUUUGUUCAUCCCUCACGCUUAGACGCAAGACAUACGCGUUGACAUAGCCUCAUGGGGUAUGCGACGUGUAGGAAGCGAUGACUUGCAGGAUAAUGCGACAUUUUACUUAAUUUGAUUAAGUUCGACCAUCUCGGGCUCUUUAACGUGCACCCAAAGCUCUGUACACGAGUGGUUUCGCAUUCCGCCCGCGUAUGCAUGCGACCUGGAACCGGGCUCGCAACCUCACGGUCACCAACAGAGAAAGGUAGGUCUAAUGAUAUGACAUGCAGAGGCCACGGCCUAGGUACAUUCCUCUAGCCAGCUACUCUGCGCUGGGAGAAGGGGAAGAGGGAAGGAAGGCAGGAAGAAAGAGGCACAUGCGCAUGAUGGAUGACGAGGAGGAGGAUGUAAAACAUUAGCAAGCCGUAGGCGCGACCACGCCGGGUUUGGAGGAGCACUGAAGAGGAAAAUAAAUUGCGCCGUAUUGAUACACUACCCACCCCCAAUACCAAUAGAGUUACUCUCACAGUGAGAAGAAGCUUAGUAAGCCAGAAAGGGCAUGAAAGCGAAAGACGGGUAGCGACGCCUCCUUUAAUUUCUAGCACUAGUUCGCCGUAACGUCAUAUAUUUUGCCGCCGCCUGCUCAGGUCUUUGGAAAUAUUUAUUGGCGAAAAUCGACUACAUUGUAUUCUAGUUGAGCCAUACACUGAACUUGGCAAGUUUCAAUAACUUUUAUUGAGCCACUGCGGCCCGAAUAUGAAAAAAAAAGAAAGCUACACUGAAACCCAUGACGCAACGCUGAUGUAACAGCGCGAAAUUCAAAAGGUCGAACUUUGACUUACUGAAAGCGCCCCUGAAACGGUUCGGACAAAUUUUGUAGACGCGUAGGGUACAGCUAAAGUAUCUCAUCAUUCGCACCACAAUUUGUGUGAAGCAUCUCAUAUUAUGAGAGCUACCACGGAGCAAGGUUAACUGAGGAGAGGCCCUACCCCCUCUGCGCGCUAGGAGAAAAGUGUGGCGGAAAUGACGUAGUAGGUUCUAAUUUUUUUGCUGCUUUUUUGGUUUUUUUUGUUGUAUGGCCACGCCUUUUGGGUUACAAUGGUGGCGUUGUUAUGGUUUUGAGCGCUCACACGUGUUGCUCUGGUAGGUUUCGGGCCGUGGCAAAGGCGCUGAGUGGGCGGGUUUGCGUUAGUCACCGUGUCUUGUUGCGCUGUGUUACCUGCACCGUGCUCUGCCAGAUGUUGCGCGAGCGCGCGCGACACCACGCGCAACGCGGCGUGGUUUCGCGAAAGAUGUAAACAAGAGAGGAGGGUGGCCCAAAAGGCGGAGCAUCGCCAUGAGCAACGCCAAAUUCCGGCUUCACUUUUGCUUCACAAAGAGUGACGUCAGGGCCUCUGCUUAGUUUCCUUCCUCCGUGCCCUACCCCCUCCGCGCGCUAGGAGAAAAGUGUGGAGGAAAUGACGCAGUAGGUUCUUAUUUUUGCUGUUUUUUUUUCUUUUGCUCUAGCGGCCACGCCUUCGGGCCACAAUGGCGGCUUUGUUACGGUUAUGUGCGCUCACACGUGUUGCUCCGUAGGUUUCGUACCGUGGAAAAGGCGCCGUGUGGGCAGGUUUGCGUUGGUCUCCGUGUUUUGUUACGCUGUGUUAUCUAGACCGUGCUCUCCCGGAUGUUGCUGCGGCCAAGUGGGACAGGAGGAACUAAAGUUCGUGAAAUGAACGCGCAUGCAACGCUGUACGCAAUGUACUGUGCCACGGCAAUGGCAACAGACGAAGGAAUAUCCGCGGGAAAUUUUGCCCUCUUUAGCGGAAUCGUGCUAACGUGCCAUCGCAGGCCGAAACCGAUGCGUUUCAGAAUCUGUACAAUGAACGCCUUGCAGGUCAGUGAUUCCCGCUUUUGACAGCGCAUAUGGUGUAUUUGCAGCACAACUUCACCAUCAAAAUGCGGCUGCCGUGGCCAGGAUCAAACCCGCAACCUCGAGCACACCAGUGCAACGCCAUAGCCACUGCGUGUCCAUUUCAGGGAACCAGAAGAUGAAAAGGAGAAGAAGCACAUGAACUUACCAGAUUCUUGGUUAAGUCCCCAUAGCGGGUAUGAGCCACUCUUGGAGGCAAACAAAUGAACACGUGCAAGCUGAAGUUCGCAGCCCAAUAUGCAAAGCUUCAUGCCCACUGUACAUUAUGUACAGUGGGCGCAAAAGCUGCACGCAAUAGGCACUGCGACGAUUCAUGGUGGGAACGAAGUGCCACUUUUCGGCAAAAACUGCCUGCAUGGACACACAGCAAUAAAUAAGAGGUGCAAGAACACCUGUAUUAGUGUAGAAAAAAUAACUUUUUACUGAAAACAGAGCAUAGUUAACAGAAGGAAAGGCUCACAUAUUUAUCUGAAGUCACAUGGAAUAACUUAUAUGGUUAUGAUGUUCCGCAUCAAAUUGAAUAUAUAUAUAUAUAAUUAUUUGAGGAGUAAUGCCGUCCACUACUUGUCUCUAUUUUAAAAAGUAACAUCUCCAUUGGUUUCACAACUUCAAGGCACAGUCUUGGCAUAAUAUGGUCCUUUUAACUGAGCACAACAAUAGUUGCCUAAACUUGAAUUAAAUUCUGUGGCUUUACGUGUCAGAACCAUGAUUUUAUUAUGAGGCACACCAUAGUGGGGGGACUUAGAAUUUAUUAUGACCACCUGGAGUUCUUUAACAGGCACCUAAGUCUAUGUAUACGAGCAUUUUUGCAUUUUGCGUCCAUUGAAACUUGUUCAAAACCCUUCAAAUCAGCUUUUUAUAACCUCAACAGCACGAUCACCCAGAAUAGAACAUGGCUCUCAAGGGAUCUUUUAGACAAUUCUAUGUGAUGGAGCCGUUUCAUGUUUAUUACAAUACUAUCGCUGGUAAUUAUUAACCCAAAGGCCUGGAGAGAGAGAGAAAAGGAUGCAUAGAAAGGCAGGGAGGUUAACCAAAGGCAGUUCCAGUUGGCUACCCUGCACGGGGGGAAAGAGUGAAGGGGAAUAAAAAGAGAAGGAGAGCAGAAGGGGGAGAUAGAGAGAAAUAGAGACGAGCACGAACAAACCGCGUACACUACAGAGCCACUGGGGCGGUGUUCUUAGAGUCUAUCGUGAAGCCCUGCAGACUGCAGGAACCUUAAUAAUGUGAGUAAGGCCUUCAGUGUGGAUGUUCUGUGGGAGUACUGACCUAAUGCUUCGAGUUCUGAUAGUGGACGAUUGUCCAACUGGUCCAGUACUCUGUACAGCACUUGUCUCUGGGAACUAUGUCAUGGGCAAAGGCCUGGAAACACCAGAUAAACACCAGGGGAGAGUAGCUAGCUCUCGGUAUGACAAUGUUUAUUGACAGUGAAUUAUGAUGAUGUGUGAAGAAUGAAGAACAAACAUGGCAUAAGGCAUUGGUGUGCUUCCUGCAAAACUUCUGCAAAGGGUAAACAAAGCCAGACAUUGUGUCAAGCACCAAUAGCCGUAACCAGCAUUAAGUCCUGUUUGUCCCUAUGACGUGGAUAAGUUGUUUAAUUUAGUGGCAACUGUUAAUAUUGCUACGGCACAAUAUGCGCGAUCACGAAAGGCCAGCAGUGUGAAGACGACGACGACGAUUAGAAGCUAGCGCGGGCUGUUGCCUCUUGGCCAAGCGCAGCGUAUUUUCCUUGUAAAUAUAUUUGUGCAUAGCUUUUCGUCUGCGUCUUCCUACGUAACAUAUCUGGUGGAGGUGGACGUUCCCUGUACCUCGUCACGGAGCUUCGCAGUGGACGGUACGUCGAGCCUUCCUUCAUGGCUCCCGGCGACGACAACCCGACUCCGCCGGCUCCGACACCUGCUGCCACUUCGACGACCUACAUCACUCUCCCCGCUCCCCGUGAUCCUGGCGUAUUCUCGGGCCAAGAUGGGGAAGACGUCGAUGACUGGAUCAGCCUGUAUGAACACGUCAGCCGCAAUAACCGGUGGGACCCUACUAUUAUGCUCGCCAACGUAGUCUUUUACCUCGGUGGCACACCUCGAGUUUGGUAUCGCACGCACGAAGAUGAGCUCACCAGUUGGGAUUCACUUAAGACACAGCUUCGAGACUUGUUCGGCAACCCCUACGGUCAACAACUUGC